rnacentral:lncRNA from 1 species
GGUUCAAAGAAGAGAGGAGGUGAGAUCCAAACAUGGUCAGGGGGGUUUAAUUUAUAUUGAGCUGAAUUAUUUUGAUUGCCCGAAUUGUCUUGGUUCCUGGCUGAUUUGGUUCCAGUUCUUGAUGAUUCAGCAUACCCUGGUUCACAUUGUGUGGGGAGUAUCCCCUAUUGCUGCAUCAUGUAAGUGUCAAUUAGCUACCAAGAGGUUAAACGCUCAGACAUUGUUCAUCAUCCUAGUUAGUUUCUUGUUAAACAUGGCAUAGUGCAUACAUUUAUAUAUCAAAUAGCCAAAUAAUGCUAACGCCCUGUGACUAGCAAAAGUUAGUCUUAUGUUAAUAAUACUUCAGCUAUGAUAUUACCAAUCCUAUCUUGUCAUUAUAAAUGUUGCUAUUGUCGAUGAGUAUUGGUGGUGAUCACCAUUGCUUGGAUUGUUUGGAUUGCUAAGAUGAUGAUACUGUCACUGAUGCUAGAAAACCAACUUCACCCAAUAUCAACAGUAUCAUAGUGGACAUUUUUUGCACAUAUAUCCCUGUAAAAUGCCUAUUUGUGUAUUUACCUCAAUAUUGCACAUGCGCGCGCGUGCACGCACAUGUAUUCUUGUCAUUUUUCUUUUCUUAAUGGUUAUACCCCCACAAUUAAAUCUGGCCAAUCAAUUUCACUAGCUCUUGUAAAAUGAUAAAAUGCUCAUUUGUGCUAAUAAUACUUUAUUUUCCUAGCAAUCAUCC